rnacentral:rRNA from 1 species
UGGGGAAUUUUGGACAAUGGGCGAAAGCCUGAUCCAGUAAUGCCGCGUGUGUGAAGAAGGCCUUCGGGUCGUAAAGCACUUUUGUCCGGAAAGAAAUGGCUCUGGUUAAUACCUGGGGUCGAUGGCGGUACCGGAAGAAUAAGGACCGGCUAACUACGUGCCAGCAGCCGCGGUAAUACGUAGGGUCCAAGCGUUAAUCGGAAUUACUGGGCGUAAAGCGUGCGCAGGCGGUUGUGCAAGACCGAUGUGAAAUCCCCGAGCUUAACUUGGGAAUUGCAUUGGUGACUGCACGGCUAGAGUGUGUCAGAGGGGGGUAGAAUUCCACGUGUAGCAGUGAAAUGCGUAGAGAUGUGGAGGAAUACCGAUGGCGAAGGCAGCCCCCUGGGAUAACACUGACGCUCAUGCACGAAAGCGUGGGGAGCAAAC